UACGUAGGGUGCGAGCGUUAAUCGGAAUUACUGGGCGUAAAGCGUGCGCAGGCGGUUUUGUAAGCCAGAUGUGAAAGCCCCGGGCUUAACCUGGGAAUGGCAUUUGGGACUGCAAGGCUAGAGUGCGGCAGAGGAGACUGGAAUUCCUGGUGUAGCAGUGAAAUGCGUAGAUAUCAGGAGGAAUGCCGAUGGCGAAGGCAGGUCUCUGGGCUGACACUGACGCUCAUGCACGAAAGCGUGGGGAGCAAACAGG
rnacentral:rRNA from 1 species